GCGGGCAUAGCUCAGUUGGUAGAGCAACUGACUGACUCUUUACACAAGCAGCAGUAGGUCCCCUUAGCCGACUCUUGGUGCCGGCACCA
rnacentral:tRNA from 2 species